rnacentral:rRNA from 1 species
AUACGGAGGGUGCAAGCGUUACUCGGAAUCACUGGGCGUAAAGCGCGCGCAGGCGGUCUUUUAAGUUGGAUGUGAAAGCCUACGGCUCAACCGUAGAACUGCAUCCAAAACUAUUAGACUAGAGUGUGGGAGAGGAAGAUGGAAUUAGUUGUGUAGGGGUAAAAUCCGUAGAGAUAACUAGGAAUACCAAAAGCGAAGGCGAUCUUCUGGAACAGUACUGACGCUGAGGCGCGAAAGCGUGGGGAGCAAACAGGAUUAGAUACCCCGGUAGUCC